rnacentral:rRNA from 1 species
GAUGAACGCUGGCGGCGUGCUUAACACAUGCAAGUCGAACGAAGCACUUUAUUUGAUUUCCUUCGGGACUGAUUAUUUUGUGACUGAGUGGCGGACGGGUGAGUAACGCGUGGGUAACCUGCCUUGUACAGGGGGAUAACAGUUGGAAACGGCUGCUAAUACCGCAUAAGCGCACGGCAUUGCAUGAUGCAGUGUGAAAAACUCCGGUGGUAUAAGAUGGACCCGCGUUGGAUUAGCUAGUUGGUGAGGUAACGGCCCACCAAGGCGACGAUCCAUAGCCGACCUGAGAGGGUGACCGGCCACAUUGGGACUGAGACACGGCCCAAACUCCUACGGGAGGCAGCAGUGGGGAAUAUUGCACAAUGGGCGAAAGCCUGAUGCAGCGACGCCGCGUGAGCGAAGAAGUAUUUCGGUAUGUAAAGCUCUAUCAGCAGGGAAGAUAAUGACGGUACCUGACUAAGAAGCACCGGCUAAAUACGUG